CGCGCUCUUCUUUCUCUUCCCCUGGGGAGCAGCUGGCGGGAGUGGAACUCAGCCUCUAGCCAUGGGGAGUCUGCCCAACGGAGAGGGGCUCCGGCCCCGCCGCCCCUCCCUGCCGGGUCAGUCCCCGCCCGGUGGGUUUUCUUUUCUGCGCUUCCCCUCCCCCACCCCCGGUUUCCCGAGCCACGACCCGCGUCUCUGGCGGAGCUGCCUCCUGGAGUCCCUAGUGCGCCAGGAGCCUCGCUGUGUUCUGAUUCGUAUGGGCUCCGCCGAGUUCCGCUUGCGUCAGGCGCCUUCGCCCCUAUAGCGGGGCAGCCAGCCGCGCACGGGCGAGUUCAUCUCCAAGUCAGUUUUUGUAAACGCCCCGCACAGCCCGGACCGGUCUGCCCCCGCUCGGCGAGCCUCGGGGGCCCAGCAGACAGCCGGGCUCACGCUCUCACGAGCCCUUGGAAUCUGCCGGUGCUUGCUCUGCGGACUGGGCCCAGAGAUGCCUUGGGCCCCGGAGGGGGCCUCCGGUGCCGGCCCAGUGCCCCGGGAGCUCGGGCCCCAGCGAGGAGAGGCUCUCUACGCCUCCUCACAGCUUUCAGGUGAAAGAAAACAACUCUUUCGCUCUGCCCUUUGCUGAAGUCCUGGGGCUAAACAUCUUGCUUGGGUCCGGGGGAGGUGCAAGACAGCCAGGGGGCCUCACUGGGGUGAUGUGGGGAGAGCUUUGCGGUGGCUCUGGGGGAAACUAGCCCAGAAACGCCAGACAUUAAAAAAAUUUCAGCCUGCCUGUCCCGCUCUCAGGGUGACUGGGCCAGAAGAAGAGAUUCGCUGGGAAGAGGCCCUUAGGGCCGCCCACCUAAACAGCCUCUGAACCAGAGCCCUCCGUGUGGUAGCCUUCCCGGGUGUGUGUGUGCUUUAACAACACCAAGUAGACUCCCCUCUGCUCCAGCACUGGCGCCCACAUAGAUGGGGAUAUUAUUGGGCUUUGGGGACUCCAUACGUGUGUGCACAGGUGUCACAUAUGGAAGACAUUGAGAGGAGCUGGCCUUGAGAAGGGUGAGCUACCCGCUGUCUAGGCGCAAGCGUGCCAGCUGUGUCAGAAACACGGAUAUGCACAUGUACAAGCUGUGAGAUUUACAUUUAUGAGGUAUAACACAUUCAUACUUGUAGGUAUGUAUGUGUAUCCCAUAUCAAGGUACGUGUGGUUUCAUGGCUAUGGCAUUGUCUCUCCUUUCCCCCCUUUCAUUCUAUCUUUCACAAUUCAUACCUGCCAUUUUCCUGCUCAAUGUAUACAAUUCUGUUGUAGAGUUGGAAGAAAAAACAACAGGCUGUUCAACUCUCUCUCCAGAUGAGACAUUUUUGUCUGACUUUCUCCAAAGGUCCAGGAGUGAGUUCUGAUCUACCUUCAGCAGAAGUCUGAUUGGGACCUGAUUACACCAGCAUAUUGCCGAGAUCUAUGCUGGCAUCAAAAUCAGGCUGCUCAGUCUCUGAACAUUCUCUGGAAGCCUGAGGAUCCCCCAGUGGCCUGUGGCUCCACAAUCCAUAGGCCACUGACAUUUGCUGUCUGCUCCCUUCUCUGAAUGUGCCUCUGAUCCACAUUCCGAGAUGAAAGGAAGGGAGGACAGAGUGCUGGGGCGCUCUGGAAUUCAGUAUUUUGAAGAUGACUCCAGAGAGGUCAGCAGGGCAACCAACCCUGGCCUGACCACCAGGAUGAGAGGGAGCUAAGCUCUUCUAAACUCUCCUCACUAGGUACUGGCCUCCACCCCUUAUUGAAAACAUCUCAAGGUAGUCUCCCCCACCAACCUGCUCCAAGCAUCCACACGCAAGGAGCAGCACAUCCCCAAAAUCCAUGCACUUGCUUUCUGAGCAGGAGUGCAGGUGUUUUUCUUCUUCUCUCCUGUGUGCGCCCAGGCUAUGGGUAGGAGUGGUGAGUCAGGUUUGGGGCUGUUGCAGAUUGGCUCCUCCGGCCUGCGGCCUGCGUGUGUGUGUGGUGGGUGGGCAGCUGGGUCUGGCCUUAUCCUGGUGGGGGCUGCUCUCUCUUUUUCCCUCUUUUUUUCUGGCCACCCAGGCUGGCUUUCUGUUUCCCCCUCUCUCCUCCCCGGCAUUUCCGCCGCUCAGCUCCACAGCAGCCAGGUGUAACAGCAUUGUUGUGUGUGUCAUCACUUCCCCGAAUUCCAUACUCAGCUCCCUUUUCAGGCUUUAAGGCGUUUGUGUGCCUGCAGAGGGGGUGGGGGUAAAGGAAAGAAUCCCUCUAAAGGAGUGGCAAAAUGAGGAGUCCUGCUCUACCAGGUGUUGACUUCUGGCUGAUCUUUCUAGGAACAAAACCCCCGACCUGAAUGGAGAUGGAGUGCCUCCAGCCACGAACACUAGGAGGGGCUGGAAUUUGUCUGUCUCCACGUUGUGUGUCCACAUGGCAGUUGGGCACUGGAAGGCUGGGAAAACAGGUGACACGGUGAUUGUCUCCAGGGCUGUUCCAUCCUCUGGGGAAGGAGCAAGGGGCUUGACACUGGAAGAGACUUAGUGGAGGACAGAGUCUUGUUGUCCGUGCUUUGGUUCAGCCUGAGGUGAGUGAGGCAGGCGCUCCUGUAUGUGGCUGCGGCUGGGUAGCUGCUUUGGUUUACUUCUCAACUCCCUUAGGCAGGCUGGGUAGGUCCUGCUUCUUGGAGAGGUCAGAAUACUCUCUGGCAAUGCACUUGGGCCCAGGACCAUUAUUUCUCUGCAGCUUGGGUGACCAGGGUCCAGGGCGGCCCCACCUCCAGGGGCCAAGGCCCUGAGCCUAGUGGAAUUCACAGCGUGGGGCCUGGGCAGCCCCGGCUUUCCGGGAACCCUCAGCUACAACUCCGGAGUCCAGGGCACCUCCUGCCCAUCGCCUGCGUGCGCGCUGUGCCAGGGACCCACAGAAGAGCUCCAGGGACCCUUGGAAGAGCACGCCCUUCACUGUCCAAGCCUCCCGGAAGACUGGCCCCGCAUGGGCGGCACGGACAGCUGGCACCAGCAAUUCACUUGGCCCUGAUGAAGCCAGCAAUUUCUCUCCGCCAGUACUGGGGAUUGAACUCAGGACCUUGUACUUGCCAGGCAUGCAUGGUGCCACUGAGCCACAUUGCCAGACCUCUUGAGAAGAUUUCUUUGCUGCAAAGAUUAAUAUAGAGUCUAGCAUGGAGGAAGCACUAAAAAAACC